rnacentral:rRNA from 1 species
GGCCUUGACAUACUAAGAACUUUCCAGAGAUGGAUUGGUGCCUUCGGGAACUUAGAUACAGGUGCUGCAUGGCUGUCGUCAGCUCGUGUCGUGAGAUGUUGGGUUAAGUCCCGNAACGAGCGCAACCCUUUUCCUUAUUUGCCAGCGGGUCAUGCCGGGAACUUUAAGGAUACUGCCAGUGACAAACUGGAGGAAGGCGGGGACGACGUCAAGUCAUCAUGGCCCUUACGGCCAGGGCUACACACGUGCUACAAUGGUCGGUACAAAGGGUUGCUACCUCGCGAGAGGAUGCUAAUCUCAAAAAGCCGAUCGUAGUCCGGAUCGCAGUCUGCAACUCGACUGCGUGAAGUCGGAAUCGCUAGUAAUCGCGGAUCAGAAUGCCGCGGUCGAAUACGUUCCCGGGCCUUGUACACACCGCCCGUCACACCAUGGGAGUUUGUUGCACCAGAAGUAGGUAGUCUAACCGCAAGGAGGACGCUUACCACGGUGUGGCCGAUGACUGGGGUGAAGUCGUAACAAGGUAGGCGUAGAUGA